rfam:Triticum aestivum genome assembly, contig: Triticum_aestivum_CS42_TGACv1_scaffold_423852_5BS
CUAGUACUCCCUCCGUCCGGAAAUAUUUGUCAUUGAAAUGGAUGUAUCUAGAUGUAUUUUAAUUCUAGGUAUAUCCAUUUUCAUCCAUUUUGAUGACAAGUAAUUCCGGAUGGAGGGAGUACUAC